AGCAGCCGCGGUAAUUCCAGCUCCAAUAGCGUAUAUUAAAGUUGUUGCAGUUAAAAAGCUCGUAGUUGAAUUUCGGGAUCAAUACGUCGGUCGUGCUUAGGUACGUACUGGCGUAAUUGAUUUCUCCCUUCUGACGAACCAUGAUGUCAUUAACUUGGUGUCAUGGGAAAUCAGGACUGUUACUUUGAAAAAAUUAGAGUGUUUAAAGCAGGCUCACGCUUGAAUACAUUAGCAUGGAAUAAUGAAAUAGGACGUUCGAUCCUAUUUUGUUGGUUUUAGGAUCAACGUAAUGAUUAAUAGGGAUAGUUGGGGGCAUUAGUAUUCAAUUGUCAGAGGUGAAAUUCUCGGAUUUAUUGAAGACUAACUACUGCGAAAGCAUUUGCCAAGGAUGUUUUCUAUUAAUCAAGAACGAAAGUUAGGGGAUCGAAGACGAUCAGAUACCGUCGUAGUCUUAACCAUAAACUAUGCCGACUAGGGAUCGGAUGAUGUUAAUUUUUAAUGACUCAUUCGGCGCCUUAAC
rnacentral:rRNA from 1 species